CGAACGGGUGAGUAACGCGUGAGGAACCUGCCUCAAAGAGGGGGACAACAGUUGGAAACGACUGCUAAUACCGCAUAAGCCCACGGGUCGGCAUCGACCAGAGGGAAAAGGAGCAAUCCGCUUUGAGAUGGUCUCGCGUCCGAUUAGCUAGUUGGUGAGGUAAUGGCCCACCAAGGCGACGAUCGGUAGCCGGACUGAGAGGUUGAACGGCCACAUUGGGACUGAGACACGGCCCAGACUCCUACGGGAGGCAGCAUG
rnacentral:rRNA from 1 species